GCGAUUAGCAGAACCUCUGUUGAAUUAGGUCAGUCACUGUAAAGGGUGUAAAUAUUCAUGCAGUCAUUUAUUUUACAUCACAUAUUUUUUGCAUUACUUUGUCUUCACUUCAGCUUUGCAGAGAUUUUCUUUUGUCAAAAAGCAAACAUUUACAGUCCAUAUAAGCUGAUAUUCACUGAAUGAAGACAAACAAACAAACAAACAAACAAAAAAACGUUUGUCCCAUGAAAGUAAACAUAACAGAAAAAGCCUGAGAUGCUACUAGCAGCUAACAUGCUAUGAGGAGUUAGCAUUAGCUGGCGGCUAUGGAUAAACCCGUCAACAAACAGGCCUUUACUCUGUCAAGAUGGAGGGUGGAUUAAGACUUCAAGAAAUUAACACCGCUGUUUGAGUUUACGACACGGACACUUCACCGCCUUCACAGGAGGGAAAGGAAGAGCAAUGACUUUGUAAAGAGGAACAUGGCAGUCUUUGUUGAGGACUUCAAAAAGACCACCAGCCGUCCUGGGGCCGCUCUGUCUCCGUCUCUCUCUUGGAUGCCAGUGCUUCAUUCCAGAUGUUUUGGAUCUGGAUCUCAGUCCUCCAGGAGAUUCAGUCCUUGUCUCUCUCUCCCUCUGUGUCUGUUUCCUCUCUGCCAUCUGUGAGGAUUGUUGGCCUGAGCCUUGCCUCUUGUAUGUUUGUGUAGUCUGUCCUUUUGCAGGAUUGUUCCCCUCUCCCAGGAUAUGAAUUCUGUGUUUAUUUCACACUGAUACAGCACAGCAAAAAAGGCUCUUUUUUUAAACCUACAAUUUUAUGCAACACUGUGUAACAUUAACGCACAUCAUCAACCCAUUGUUGCACAGAUUACAAACAGCUCUGCUGCAAUUUUCAGCUAAUGUGCUGCAGACAAUGCUCAAUAAUAUAAAUUAUGGACUUGAAGCACACUGGGCUAGACACUCUACCUAAUAAAAUUCUUUAUAAACCUUUAAAAAGCAAUUUCCUCUCCUUUCAUGCUUUGAAAAUAAAAUGCCUUCAUAUCAAUUCAUGUCAGAAAAAAGUGCCAAACUCAUGAAUUCUAUCUGAUGUCUUUAUUUUGAA